rnacentral:rRNA from 1 species
UAGGGAAUAUUGGUAAUGUGCGAAAGCGCGAACCAGCAACGCCGCGUGCACGAUGAAGGCCUUCGGGUCGUAAAGUGCUUUUAGAGAGGAUGAGGAAGGACAGUACUUUCUGAAUAAGCCUCGGCUAACUACGUGCCAGCAGCCGCGGUAAAACGUAGGAGGCUAGCGUUAUCCGGAUUUACUGGGCGUAAAGCGCAUGCAGGGGGUUUUGUAAGUUGGAUGUGAAAGCUCCUGGCUUAACUGGGAGAGGUCGUUCAAAACUACAAGACUUGAGAUUGGUAGAGGAAAAUGGAAUUCCGGGUGUAGUGGUGAAAUGCGUAGAUAUCCGGAGGAACACCAGUGGCGAAAGCGGUUUUCUGGACCAAUUCUGACACUCAGAUGCGAAAGCUAAGGUAGCAAACG